rnacentral:rRNA from 1 species
GUUUGAUCCUGGCUCAGGAUGAACGCUGGCGGCGUGCUUAACACAUGCAAGUCGAGCGAAGCAUAAAAACAGAUUCUCGGAAUGAAAUUUUAUGACUGAGCGGCGGACGGGUGAGUAACGCGUGGGUGACCUGCCUCAUACAGGGGGAUAACAGACAGAAAUGUCUGCUAAUACCGCAUAAGCGCACGGUGCUGCAUGGCACAGUGUAGAAAAACUCCGGUGGUAUGAGAUGGACCCGCGUCUGAUUAGCUAGUUGGUAAGGUAACGGCUUACCAAGGCGACGAUCAGUAGCCGGCCUGAGAGGGUGAACGGCCACAUUGGGACUGAGACACGGCCCAAACUCCUACGGGAGGCAGCAGUGGGGAAUAUUGCACAAUGGGGGAAACCCUGAUGCCAGCGACGCCGCGUGAAGGAAGAAGUAUUUCGGUAUGUAAACUUCUAUCAGCAGGGAAGAAAAUGACGGUACCUGACUAAGAAGCCCCGGCUAACUACGUGCCAGCAGCAGC